rnacentral:rRNA from 1 species
AGCCAUGCAUUCUAAUUUUAGGUUGGGGUGACCGCGGAGUAAAAAUUAACCUCCACGACGAAAAGAACUAAAUCUUUAUCCAAGAGUUACAACUCUAAGAAUUAGAACACUAACGACAAUGACCCGAUAAUCGAUCAACGGACCAAGUUACCCUGGGGAUAACAGCGCAAUCUACUUCGAGAGCUCAUAUCGACAAGUAGGCUUACGAC